CCCCCCCCCCCCCCCCCCCCCCCCGCGAGCGUCGCGCUAGUGAAAUGCAUCAGAUGCGCAAGUAAGUUCAUCCCAUUCCUCUCUCUCUCUCUCUAUUUCCUUCGCACACAUUUCAUCCCAUUCUCAUCUCGACCUCCAUUUUUCUGAUCUAUUUCAGUCUUAUAUGUUCUAAUCCUCCUCAAAUCUAGGAGCUGCGAGCAAUUACGGGGUCAAGGAUUUGUUUCUGAGCAAUUCAUUGCAGGAACACAUUGACUUUAAUCUCUGUGUUCGAAUUCCCUAUGAAUCUAGCAUUAUUCUAGAGGUUGAUCUGCUUUUCCUUCAGUUAUGCAGUGGUUGUCAUGAGGAGGUUCAUUUCUGGAGUUGAGGAGGUUGUCAGCAGGGCAUUAAAUGGUGGAGGGUGCAGUGAAUAGAGGUAGAUCUACGAAAAUAUUUGAUUUAAGCUUUAGCAUAUUCACCAUUGUUAGGCUAUUCAAGAUUCAUUAGUUUGUAUAUCCGGUGUCACUAUGGAAGUGAGAAAUUGGUUGCAGUUAUACAUCAUUAUGUAGCCAACGAAAUACCUUAAAUCUAGUUGGCUACGUACUAAUCUUAAGUUGCAAUAUAUGCAUUGCAUCAGUAAGUUGGCUAGGUACUUCACCUGGAACCUAUAUCUUUCCCUACUUGAGAUUAUAACUGAUAUUUUGUUUGUAUGUAACUCUUGCUGUCUUGUUGGAGUCAGUUCAUAGUGAAAGUGCAAGUAUUUGAGAAGGUUCUUAGUUAAAAGAAUAACAGUUACCUGAGGUUUGAAUUAGUAAAUAUCAAAGCAAGUUAGAAUAGAUUUGGUUUCAGCUUCUCUUUAUUCACAGAUGCAUUCUGCUAUAUUGUCUAUACUACAAAAAUAAAUAUACUUGUGGUGAUUUGAUAAAAAAAAUACUUACAUGCGUAGAGAAGGAACAUUUGCGGAACAUUAGACAACAAUCAUGAUUCAUUCAGGCAGUACUAUGUAGUGCUACUGUUUUGUUGUUCGAUUGGUGAUGCUAGUUAUUUGAUUGUUCACUAUUUAAAUAAUUUAUCUUUUAGAUUCAAGUAGUACUACUAUUAGCAUCAAGUUACAUGAUAGUUCAUGUUUUCAUCAGUAGUGAACUAUCGGACAUGUAAUAUUAGAUAUUUACUCCCUGUUUUCAUCUAUUCAAAGUAAUAAAGAUAAUAUAAAAAGUGAUGUUAUAUAGAAAGAACCCCACCUCCUGCUAUGUUCAGUUUUCUUUCAUUACAAUUUUUCUAUGAAUCUGUAAGCAAGGUUUUAAUACCAUGGCACCAUGCAACUCAGUUAUAUUUUGGUACUAUUAUAAAAUUGCCUUUUUUUUCUUGAGGAAAUACAAACCCCAAAUCUUGAGAGCCUCAGUGGAGGCUGCCACUCCACAGUUUCCAUGGUCAUCGGCUCCCAUGCUGAGAUGUCUAAUACCAUGCACCUCUACAACAGUUGACACUAACCUUUUCUUUUAUGUUGCCUCAUCAUUUUAUUUUUAUUCCAUCGUAAUGUUCCAUUGCUAAUCCAUAAUUUAGCAAUGACAACUUUUCUUAAGUCAUCAAGUAAUUUAGUAAUUUUAGUUCAGCACUUUUGCAGUCUGAUUCUAGCAUUUUUCCAAUAUUCCUACUAAUCAUUUUUUAUUUCAUGUAGGCAACUUAAGCUAAAUCAUCAAGCAAUUUAUUUUUACUAAUUUAGCAUUUUUGUAUUCAGAUUCUAGCAUUUUUCCCAUGUUCCUACUGAUCAUUUGUUUGGAUUUCAUGUAUGCACCUUAUGUUCAAUCAACAUGCAAAUUAAUCAUACUAGCUAAGCAAUCUUGUGUCGUGAUUGUUAGCAGUUUUUCACGAAUUGUGAUAAUUUGUUUUUUGUAAUUUCUACUGAUCACUGCGUGCACUUACAUGUGUACACCAUCUAUGCUAAAUGAGCAAACAAAUUAUUCAUUAUGCAAUGAUACUAUUUUGUGGGUCGAUUGUUAACUUUCUAGACUGCAAGUUACUUGAUUAUUUUAGGGUACACAUUAUCUAGCAUCACUAUGGGAUCUGAUUUUUGGAGCUUUCUAUUAAUUUCUCCCUUUCUCUCUAUCAUAGAUUGUCAUGCUCGUAUCCUCUUUCUUUCUUUAUCACUCUUGCUGCCUUUUUCUUGAACUUCUUCUCUUAGGUUCAAAAUUUUAUGUAGUUUCAUAACGUUUGCAUUUCUAUAAAAUCAUGUUGUUUCAGUCACAUGUGUUUUGUAGUUCUGAAAUGAUGUACAAUUGAAGGUGUUGCCGGAUGGGGCUACUCAUCCGAUCAAUAAGUCAUUGCAUUUGUUCAAUUUGAAGUGACCCACAACUAGGCUCAUUGCACUGCUGUUUUCUGCAGGUUGGUUUCCAUGACAUUUUUCUUGGAUGGAGCUUGUUGUUGCUCAUGAUCCACAAUUUGUAUAGCUUGAAAUUUGGACACUUUUAAAUUAUAUGUUUUAAACUACAACUUGUAGGCAACUUAACUAAACCAACAAGUAAAUUAUUCAUAGAUUAGCUAUCGGUUCUACUGGAAUUCACUUUUAGACAACUCUAAUGAACAAGCAAUUUAUUCUAUUUUAGGUUAGCAUUUUUGUGUGUUCUGGCUUUGGCAUUUUCUCCUAUUACAACAGGUUGUCAUUUCGGAUAUACUUAUCUUACCUACCAUCUUUUGUUUGUACUUAUUCAAAUUCUUGCUUGGUUAUAGGGUCCAGAGGAGGUGUGAAGACUUGUUUUUUAUAUGUUCGGACAACCCCUUCUUGUUUAGAAAUGUAUUAUGAUAUCUGACAUAUGUGUUCUUUUCAUCAGGGGUGGGGUGGGGGUUGAAAAUAAAAUAUUAAUGUGCUGAAUGACAGUAUGGUGUUCUAAGUUGCCUCAUCAUGUAUGUUUUGCUU